CGACCAUGCGGGACACUACGACCGGCAA
rnacentral:sRNA from 1 species